UGGAGAAAUAACCCCAGCGGCGCAGCCACCUCUGGAGCCCUGGAUUCAGCCCCCGCAGUAACUACGGUGCUCUCUGUCUGCAGAGGCCUGGAGGCUCCGGGGUGGG
rnacentral:pre_miRNA from 1 species